rnacentral:rRNA from 1 species
GCCCCGGCUAACUACGUGCCAGCAGCCGCGGUAAUACGUAGGGGGCGAGCGUUGUCCGGAUUUAUUGGGCGUAAAGGGUUCGCAGGCGGCCUUUUAAGUCAGAUGUGAAAGAUCACGGCUCAACCGUGGUAAGCAUUUGAAACUGGAAGGCUUGAGUUAAGGAGAGGAAAGUGGAAUUCCUAGUGUAGCGGUGAAAUGCGUAGAUAUUAGGAGGAAUACCAGUGGCGAAGGCGACUUUCUGGACUUAUACUGACGCUGAGGAACGAAAGCGUGGGGAGCAAACAGGAUUAGAUACCCUGGUAGUCCACGCCGUAAACGAUGAGUGCUAGGUGUCGGGGGUCAAACCUCGGUGCCGGAGCUAACGCAUUAAGCACUCCGCCUGGGGAGUACGUACGCA